GUCGCUGCCCACUGCCAGCAGGGAGGGGCCAGCAGCGCGACACUGGAAUAUGUAGAAGAUUUGACCCAGUUCCAGUUAAAUGAAUGAAUACACUUCAGCAGCUUCAGUGGACUUUGGAACAGAUCAUAUGUGAAUUUUUCUGUUCUGCAAUUUUAUGAGUCAGUAAUAUAGUUAAGAGAAAGUGGAGAUAAACAGAAUCAAACCCCUUCUGAUCUGGGUAAUAUACAUUUUGUCAUACUCUCACAGCCAGUCCAGGAAGACCAUCAAUGGGUUGAUUACACUUUAACAUCGCUAGCAUGUGAAGAGUGAUUUUGGAGCAAAAGGUGUGCAGGGGAUGGCAAAGGUUUUUUUGUGUCACCUGUUCUGCAUUCUGUUGUAAGGUUCUGUGGUUAACAGACCUAGCAUAAAAGAAUUUGGCAUUCAGGCACAUAACUAAACAUUACUGUAGAGACAAGGGCUGUACACUUCCAGAAACAUAAAUUCAAAUGCAGGUGCAUACACAGAAACAGCUUUCAUUUACCAGAUAAGUCUGGGCAACAGAAAGGAGAAAAGUUCAUCCGUCAUAUUUCUCUGGAGUAGACCCAGCUUAGGAAUGCAAAAAUUGUUGUCCUGCUAAAGGGUAAAAAAGGGGAAACAAAUACUUAAGCAUAAAGUAAAUGGAAAGUUCUCCUAAAGCUAUCAUUCAUAGCUUAUAUUUGUCAAGAAUACAUUACUACGUAAGAUAUUGAUAAAUGUCCUAUCUUUGCCUUCAUUUCAGGGAAGAAAGAGCAGCUAAGUGCACUGUGUUGUUACAAAAAUUGGAGCUUUAUUAUACACUUGCACUUAAGCAACAACAUGAAAAAAAGAAGCUUACCAGACAAAAAACAUAACCCACACAAAGAAAGGAGGAUGAAGUCACACCUUUUUUGUUUCGGCGAGAAAAGACAAAGCAAAAACAACAACAACAAAUUAAGAAGGAACUGAGAUACAGGAAAUUGUUGUUGGAGGUAUCCCAUGAGUGCACAUGUACUAUUGACUCUCCAAAGAGUUCUUGGAUGAACAAGUUAA